CCUACGGGUGGCAGCAGUGAGGAAUAUUGGUCAAUGGACGAGAGUCUGAACCAGCCAAGUAGCGUGCAGGAUGACUGCCCUAUGGGUUGUAAACUUCUUUUAUAUGGGAAUAAAACGUUCCACGUGUGGGAUUUUGUAUGUACCAUAUGAAUAAGGAUCGGCUAACUCCGUGCCAGCAGCCGCGGUAAUACGGAGGAUCCGAGCGUUAUCCGGAUUUAUUGGGUUUAAAGGGAGCGUAGGUGGAUUGUUAAGUCAGUUGUGAAAGUUUGGGGCUCAACCGUAAAAUUGCAGUUGAAACUGGCAGUCUUGAGUACAGUAGAGGUGGGCGGAAGUCGUGGUGUAGCGGUGAAAUGCUUAGAUAUCACGAAGAACUCUGAUUGCGAAGGCAGUUCACUGGACUGCAACUGACACUGAGGCUCGAAAGUGUGGGUAUCAAACAGGAUUAGAUACCCGUGUAGUC
rnacentral:rRNA from 1 species